UACGGGGGGGGCAAGCGUUGUUCGGAAUUACUGGGCGUAAAGGGCUCGUAGGUGGCCAACUAAGUCAGACGUGAAAUCCCUCGGCUUAACCGGGGAACUGCGUCUGAUACUGGAUGGCUUGAGAUUGGGAGAGGGACGCGGAAUUCCAGGUGUAGCGGUGAAAUGCGUAGAUAUCUGGAGGAACACCGGUGGCGAAGGCGGCGUCCUGGACCAACACUGACACUGAGUGAGCGAAAGCCAGGGGAGCAAACGGG
rnacentral:rRNA from 1 species